UCCUAUGGUUGAGCAAAGAAAGUGGCUUCUUCAGAUAGAAUCUACUCCUGGUGAAGAUGCUAUGAA
rnacentral:pre_miRNA from 1 species